UAGGUUCGGGGAGGAGGAUGAUGGGAAGUGAACAGCCCUGGUCUCUCCACAGGAUGAAGGAUCACUGGGUUGACUUGUCUCUGACAAACCAGCAGCAGCAGUGUUCAGGACUUGAGGACGGGGAUGUCGGGUCUGUUGGUCCACAGCAAAAUGUCUCGACUGUCCUGAUUUCCAUGAUAUCUGCUGUGGCUGUUCAUGGUCUGCAGAUGAUGGAUGCUGAUGGAUUUCGGUGACCUCUGACCUUUCCUCUGCUAAUGUGUCCGACUUCCUGAUCUUGGCGUUGACGGUGUUCUUGUCCUCGCAGAGGUGGUGAUGGAGGAGUAGUUGGUGGUGUUGAUGGUUCGGUGUGUUUUUCUCGAUGGGGUUCUUGAUGUGGUUGAGCUGCU